AACGAGGAAGCCGGUGUGAAUCCGGCGCGGUGCCGCCACUGUGAUCGGCGAGCGGAUCCCGAACAGGCCACUGCCCGUACGCGCGGGUGGGAAGGCCGGGACGAGCAUCGACCCGAGAGCCAGGAGACUC
rnacentral:ncRNA from 2 species